CUUAAAAGAAACAUUUUCCGAAUUAAAUUGGCUAAAUCAGUGGAAAUUGUAUUUCAAUUGAAAUUAUAACUACUGAUGAAGAGAAUUUUUUUUUCUAUUUUCUCCCAAACAAAACAUUAAGAGAGAAAAAAACUUCUACUGGUAACGAAGUCGAAGUAUUGUACAAAGGUGAAAGUGAAUGAAUGUUUUUCGAAAUCCAAAUGAUUCUCCCUCAAUUGCUUCUCCUAAAUAUCAUAAGCAACAAAUAUUAAUAUCAAUGGAAAAUAGGGCACACACAUAACGGUAAACACUCCUCGUCCCUUAUUCUCAUCAAGUGACCUUGUCUCGAGACAUCGAAUUGACUGUGUACGUGUGGCUCGAUCUAAACCUAACCACCGACAUUGUCUGAGUCUCUAUUGGAAGAAUAAUAGAGAAAGUAAAAGGAUAAAGUAAUAAUCAUGAUGGAAAAAGAAGGAGGCAAAAAAAAGCGAACCAAUAAAACGAGUCACAAGAAGAUGAAGAUGAGAAGAAGAAGAAGAAGAAGAAGAAAAAG